AGCGAACGCUGGCGGCAGGCCUAACACAUGCAAGUCGAACGAACCUUUCGGGGUUAGUGGCGGACGGGUGAGUAACACGUGGGAACGUGCCUUUAGGUUCGGAAUAACUCAGGGAAACUUGUGCUAAUACCGAAUGUGCCCUUCGGGGGAAAGAUUAAUCGCCUUUAGAGCGGCCCGCGUCUGAUUAGCUAGUUGGUUGAGGUAAUGGCUCACCAAGGCGACGAUCAGUAGCUGGUCUGAGAGGAUGAUCAGCCACAUUGGGACUGAGACACGGCCCAAACUACUACGGGAGGCAGGAGUGGGGAAUCUUGCGCAAUGGGCGAAAGCCUGACGCAGCCAUGCCGCGUGAAUGAUGAAGGUCUUAGGAUUGUAAAAUUCUUUAACCGGGGACGAUAAUGACGGUACCCGGAGAAGAAGCCCCGGCUAACUUCGUG
rnacentral:rRNA from 1 species